GAUGAACGCUAGCGGCGGGCUUAAUACAUGCAAGUCGCGGGGUAGCAAUACACCGGCGCACGGGUGCGUAACGCGUAUGCAACCUACCUUUAUCUGGGGGAUAGCCCGGGGAAACCCGGAUUAAUACCGCAUAACAAUCUGAUCGGCCUCGGUUGGAUUUAAAAGAUUUCUCGGAUAGAGCUGGGCAUGCGUAAGAUUAGAUAGUUGGCGAGGUAACGGCUCACCAAGUCUACGAUCUUUAGGGGCUCUGAGAGGAGAAUCCCCCACACUGGCACUGAGAUACGGGCCAGACUCCUACGGGAGGCAGCAGUAGGGAAUAUUGGGCAAUGGACGCAAGUCUGACCCAGCCACGCCGCGUGCAGGAAGACGGCCCUCUGGGUUGUAAACUGCUUUUGACUGGGAAGAAAAGACUCCUUGCGAGGAGAGUUGACGGUACCAGCAGAAUAAGCCACGGCUAACUACGUGCCAGCAGCCGCCGUAAUAC
rnacentral:rRNA from 1 species